GGGCACAUGGUGUACUAGUAGUUGGUUAUCACAUCCGCUUAGCAUCCGCAUAUACCGUUGCUUCUGCGGGGGGUGCUGGGUUCAAUUCCCAGUGUGUCCA